UACUUAUCCAGAAAGGUGGAGGGACUUGGCCCGCUGAUACCUUAGCAACCGGAACGAUUGUUCACGGUGCUACAUCCAACAGUCAUUACUGACAGAUAAGUG
rfam:Brochothrix thermosphacta DSM 20171 = FSL F6-1036 c8, whole genome shotgun sequence.